rnacentral:rRNA from 1 species
UGAGUAAGACUUAGGAAUCUACCUAGUAGUGGGGGAUAGCUCGGGGAAACUCGAAUUAAUACCGCAUACGUCCUACGGGAGAAAGGGGGCAACUUGUUGCUCUCGCUAUUAGAUGAGCCUAAGUCGGAUUAGCUAGUUGGUGGGGUAAAGGCCUACCAAGGCGACGAUCUGUAGCUGGUCUGAGAGGAUGAUCAGCCACACCGGGACUGAGACACGGCCCGGACUCCUACGGGAGGCAGCAGUGGGGAAUAUUGGACAAUGGGGGCAACCCUGAUCCAGCCAUGCCGCGUGUGUGAAGAAGGCCUUUUGGUUGUAAAGCACUUUAAGCAGUGAAGAAGACCUAACGGUUAAUACCCGUUAGCGAUGACAUUAGCUGCAGAAUAAGCACCGGCUAACUCUGUGCCAGCAGCCGCGGUAAUACAGAGGGUGCAAGCGUUAAUCGGAAUUACUGGGCGUAAAGCGAGCGUAGGUGGCUUGAUAAGUCAGAUGUGAAAUCCCCGGGCUUAACCUGGGAACUGCAUCUGAUACUGUCAGGCUAGAAUAGGUGAGAGGAAGGUAGAAUUCCAGGUGUAGCGGUGAAAUGCGUAGAGAUCUGGAGGAAUACCGAUGGCGAAGGCAGCCUUCUGGCAUCAUAUUGACACUGAGGUUCGAAAGCGUGGGUAGCAAACAGGAUUAGAUACCCUGGUAGUCCACGCCGUAAACGAUGUCUACUAGUCGUUGGGUCCCUUGAGGACUUAGUGACGCAGCUAACGCAAUAAGUAGACCGCCUGGGGAGUACGGCCGCAAGGUUAAAACUCAAAUGAAUUGACGGGGGCCCGCACAAGCGGUGGAGCAUGUGGUUUAAUUCGAUGCAACGCGAGAACCUUACCUGGUCUUGA